GACGAACGCUGGCGGCGUGCCUAAUACAUGCAAGUAGAACGCUGAAGGAGGAGCUUGCUCUUCUGGAUGAGUUGCGAACGGGUGAGUAACGCGUAGGUAACCUGCCUGGUAGCGGGGGAUAACUAUUGGAAACGAUAGCUAAUACCGCAUAAGAGUAGAUGUUGCAUGACAUUUACUUAAAAGGUGCAAUUGCAUCACUACCAGAUGGACCUGCGUUGUAUUAGCUAGUUGGUGGGGUAACGGCUCACCAAGGCGACGAUACAUAGCCGACCUGAGAGGGUGAUCGGCCACACUGGGACUGAGACACGGCCCAGACUCCUACGGGAGGCAGCAGUAGGGAAUCUUCGGCAAUGGACGGAAGUCUGACCGAGCAACGCCGCGCGAGUGAAGAAGGUUUUCGGAUCGUAAAGCUCUGUUGUAAGAGAAGAACGAGUGUGAGAGUGGAAAGUUCACACUGUGACGGUAUCUUACCAGAAAGGGACGGCUAACUACGUGCCAGCAGCCGCGGUAAUACGUAGGUCCCGAGCGUUGUCCGGAUUUAUUGGGCGUAAAGCGAGCGCAGGCGGUUAGAUAAGUCUGAAGUUAAAGGCUGUGGCUUAACCAUAGUACGCUUUGGAAACUGUUUAACUUGAGUGCAAGAGGGGAGAGUGGAAUUCCAUGUGUAGCGGUGAAAUGCGUAGAUAUAUGGAGGAACACCGGUGGCGAAAGCGGCUCUCUGGCUUGUAACUGACGCUGAGGCUCGAAAGCGUGGGGAGCAAACAGG
rnacentral:rRNA from 1 species